rnacentral:lncRNA from 1 species
CUACCAUAGACGAAAAGAGCGCUCCCUGCAAAAGAAAGAAUAUUACAAAUUUAAUGAUACAAGAGAAAGAGAUUAAAAAUAAACUAAAUAAACCCAAAAAAAGUAAAUGAAACUAAGCUAAACAUGUCUUAACGCCUAAAAAAAUUAAAAUCUUUUAACAAGUAUUUUCUCCUGCCUCCUUUGUGCUUUCCUGGAGUGUAGCGGUCAUGCCCUCAUCCUCGAGAGUUAUCACUAGUUGACUGGCUCCUAAAUUUAUGCGAAAAACAAUCACUC